UAUCUCUUUACCUUACUCAUCAAAUGAUUUAACCACAAUGCAGUACUUUCCGACUUAAACAUGCUUCAACAGAAGUGCCAUUGCCUAAUGAACAUAAGAACAUUGAUUCUAUACCUAGCAAAAAAACGUUACUAAUGUUGCUAUGUGAAAGUUCUGCACAUUUAAUUUUGCAACUUUCGCUUAUCUUCAAAAGUUGCAGCUGCUACAUUUUGAGUUGAUUUCCAGAUUCCCUUUAUUGACAGGUGUGGGCUGAUGCUAAAAUAA
rnacentral:misc_RNA from 1 species